UACGGGGGGAGCAAGCGUUGUUCGGAUUUACUGGGCGUAAAGGGCGCGUAGGCGGCGUGACAAGUCACUUGUGAAAUCUCCGAGCUUAACUCGGAACGGUCAACUGAUACUGUUUUGCUAGAGUACAGAAGGGGCAAUCGGAAUUCUUGGUGUAGCGGUGAAAUGCGUAGAUAUCAAGAGGAACACCUGAGGUGAAGACGGGUUGCUGGGCUGAUACUGACGCUGAGGCGCGAAAGCCAGGGGAGCGAACGGG
rnacentral:rRNA from 1 species